CAUUCAGUAGCCUAGCUACUUGUUUAUACCCUUGUUUUUAGCGUACUAUUGUUUCCUCGGUGGGCUUGCCUGCCGGUUGGACAAAACUAUAACCUUUUUAAAUCUUCAAUCAGCGUCUGGAUUAUACAUAAUAAUUA
rnacentral:misc_RNA from 1 species